GAGAGUGUGUGUGUGUGUCCAACUCUUCCUCACAGGUUAGUUAAUGACAGACAGUCAGUGAGUGUGUCUGUGUCCAACUCUUCCUCACAGGUUAGUUAAUGACAGACAGUCAGUGAGUGUGUGUGUGUCCAACUCUUCCUCACAGGUUAGUUAAUGACAGACAGUCAGUGAGUGUGUCUGUGUCCAACUCUUCCUCACAGGUUAGUUAAUGACAGACAGUCAGUGAGUGUGUCUGUGUCCAACUCUUCCUCACAGGUUAGUUAAUGACAGACAGUCAGUGAGUGUGUGUGUGUCCAACUCUUCCUCACAGGUUAGUUAAUGACAGACAGUCAGUGAGUGUGUCUGUGUCCAACUCUUCCUCACAGGUUAGUUAAUGACAGACAGUCAGUGAGUGUGUCUGUGUCCAACUCUUCCUCACAGGUUAGUUAAUGAUGUUACUGAGUCAGUGUGAGCAGAUUGUGUCUGUAGACUGAAGAGAAUCAGAGUCUCACUGAUGGUGGAAAUAAAGGUUUUACUUCCUUAAAACA